GGUUGCGAUCAUACCAGCACUAAUGCAACGGAUCCCGUCAGAACUCCGCAGUUAAUCGUGCUUGGGCGAGAGUAGUACUAGGAUGGGUGACCCCCUGGGAAGUCCUAGUGUUGCAACCC
rnacentral:rRNA from 1 species